rnacentral:ncRNA from 1 species
GAAAAAUACAUAGAGAGACAAAAAUAGAUAGAUAGAUAGAUAGAGAGAGAGAGAGAGAGAGAGGAUCUUGUAGCUGAAAACGGCUAUUAAUAUCUUGUAGCCUGAGGAGCAAAAGGAGGAAUCCAUUUGAGGAGAGGCUCGCGUCUGAUUAGCUAGUUGGUGAGACAAUAACUUAACAAGGCAAUGACCAAUAGCUGGUUAGAGAGGGUGAUUAGCCUGGGACUAAGACACGACCCAGACUCCUAUGAGAGGAAAAAGUGGAAAAUUUUCCACAAUGGGUGAAUGCCUAAUAAAAC